AAGAAAGUAUGCAAGAACUGCUAACUCAUGCCACCAUGUUUAAACACAUGGCUUUCUUA
rnacentral:tRNA from 1 species